GGGGGAGUAGCUCAGUGGCAGAGCAGUAGCGAGUUUCUUCUGAUUGCCGUGUGCUUUUUGUUUUCCAAGAGCGUCUACAUAUCUUACCCAGCGGUGGCUUGACGAAGUAAGCGAAAAGGUCCUGGGUUCGACUCCCAGCUCCCCCC